rnacentral:tRNA from 1 species
UGCGAGGUGGAGCAGUUUGGCAGCUCGUCGGGCUCAUAACCCGGAGGUCGCAGGUUCAAAUCCUGCCCUCGCUACCA